GGGAAAUGUAGUCUCGCCCAGGUUCCGGUAGGAUCAGAACAUACUUACCAGCAGUGUUUCUUCCGGACGUGAGUCCUUGUCGAGUUCUUGUCCGGGUUCUUGGGGCCUGUUUCUAGAACGAUUUUACUGAAGUUAGCGAAGCAGUUUCACCAUGUGUGUGCUAGUUUAUGGAAAAGGAAAAUAAACCUCUCCCUUUUCUUUUUUUGUGACUAUAUGCUAAGUGUCUGUGAUUUGCAGUACUACUCCGCCAGCGCUGCGAGAGAUGUAUAUGCUCUUAUCUCACCGCUAACUCCAAAGGGAACUCCAGGAGAGAUUCUAGCGUCUGGCUUUGAAAUUGCCUCCUCAUGAGCUCUGUGACCAAUUAAAGACAGUGGCAAAUUCUUUUCAUCAAGAGAUAGGGUCUAUGCCUUUUCUCCCUGAAUCUGGAUGGACUCUGUGUGACUAUUUUGACCAAGAGAAUUUGCCAUAAGUGAUGCUGUGCCAGUAUCCUGCCCAGGCCUUACGAUAUUGGCAGCUUCCUUUCCUGUCUUUUGGAACAUUUGCCCUUGCAACCCUGAGCUUCAUGUAAGAAGUUUGACUACUUUGCUGGAGAGGCCUCCUGAAGAGUACUCAAGAAUGCACCGAAAAAAAGUGGGGGGUCGGCUCAGGUGUCAGGUAUGUGAGUGAAGCUAUCUUGGAUUCUCCAGUCCAGUCCAGGUGCCAGCUGAAUACACUGAGGGACCCCAGUCAAUGCUGUGUAGAGAAGAGUUGCCCAGUUUAGCCCUGCCCAACACGCUGAUCUACAGAUUUGUGAGACAUAAUUAAAUGGUUGUUCUUUCAAGCCAUUAAGUUUGGGGUAGUUUGUUAAGCAAUAGUAAAUAACUGGAAUAAGAACUGCUCAGCUGAACCCACCAGCCUCCAAAAC